rnacentral:rRNA from 1 species
UAAGUAAGCGGAGGAAAAGAAACUAACUAGGAUUCCCUUAGUAAUGGCGAAUGAACAGGGAUCAGCUCAGUGCCAAAUCGGAAUCACUUGUGGUUCUGAAAUGUGGCUUGAAGGCAGUACCAGUGGCAUCGCGGACGAAAGUCUCUUGGAAAAGAGCGUCAUAGAGGGUGAGAAUCCCGUGAGUCGUUCGCCGUUUGUCACGUACGGUCUGCGUUCUAACGAGUCGCGUUCCUUGGGAUUGGAGCGUAAACGGGUGGUAAAUUUCAUCCAAAGCAAAAUAUAUACUCGAGACCGAUAGCACAAAAGUACUGUGAGGGAAAGGUGAAAAGAACUUUGAGAAGAGGGUUAAAUAGUGCCUGAAAUCGUUGAGAAGGAAGCGGAUGCCGCCGUUGCAUAUGCUGAUUGUAGGAUUGCUGCUCGCUCCUGUCUUCUGCUACUCAUUCACAGACCUGGUCGUGUUGAGCAGUUGUUUGGCAGAUGUUAGUGGUGUUUCCUACUUUCAGUCGUCAGCAUCACUGGCUGAGUGGAAAUAAUCCUUGGAUGCUAAUUGGUUCGCUAUCUGUGAAUUGGUUGCUUCCUUGCGAUACUCACUACUCGGUCAGUGAGGAAGUGCGUUUGCUGGUCAACGAGCUUUCUAACUGUCAUUACCCUGCGCUUUUCGAUUCGUCGAGUGGCCAGGAUGUGGCUUUGAGAUUGUUCGCACUUAGUAAUCGCGAUGCUGGCUUCCAACGGUUGCCUCCGGCCCGUCUUGAAACACGGACCAAGGAGUCUAACGUAUGUGCGAGUGUGUGAGUGGCAAACUUAUACGCGUAAUGAAAGUGAGGCCGUAUGGCCAUGUUGGGGUCACCAACAACCGACCUUGAUCUUCGGUGAAAGGUUUGAGUAUGAGCAUAUCCGUUAGGACCCGAAAGAUGGUGAACUAUGCCUGAGCAGGGUGAAGCCAGGGGAAACUCUGGUGGAGGCUCGUAGCGAUA